rnacentral:rRNA from 1 species
AUAGCGUAUACUAAAGUUGUUGCAGUUAAAAAGCUCGUAGUUGAAUUUCUGGCCUUGGGUCUCGGUCCGCCUCAAACGAGGUGCGUACUUGGGACCUGAGGCCAUCCUCGGGGAAAACAUAUCUGUCAUUAAGUUAAUGGGUAUGGGAUCCCCGUCAUUUACUGUGAGCAAAAUAGGGUGUUCAAAGCAGGCUUAUGCCGUUGAAUACAUUAGCAUGGAAUAAUAAGAUAGGACCUUGGUCUAUUUUGUUGGUUUGUACUCCAAGGUAAUGAUUAAUAGGGAUAGUUGGGGGUAUUCGUAUUCAAUUGUCAGAGGUGAAAUUCUUGGAUUUAUUGAAGACUAACUACUG